rnacentral:piRNA from 1 species
UGACUCUAGCUUGCGUCAAGUUGACACACAAA